CUCCUGGGGUCCAACCUCCCACCCGUGUUUAUCGUACCUUGUUGCUUCGGCGGGCCCGCCGCAAGGCCGCCGGGGGGCUUCCGUCCCCGGGCCCGCGCCCGCCGAAGACACCUGUGAACGCUGUAUGAAGAUUGCAGUCUGAGCGAAAAGCUAAAUUUAUUAAAACUUUCAACAACGGAUCUCUUGGUUCCGGCAUCGAUGAAGAACGCAGCGAAAUGCGAUAAGUAAUGUGAAUUGCAGAAUUCAGUGAAUCAUCGAGUCUUUGAACGCACAUUGCGCCCCCUGGUAUUCCGGGGGGCAUGCCUGUCCGAGCGUCAUUGCUGCCCUCAAGCACGGCUUGUGUGUUGGGCCCUCGUCCCCCGGGACGGGCCCGAAAGGCAGCGGCGGCACCGCGUCCGGUCCUCGAGCGUAUGGGGCUUCGUCACCCGCUCUGUAGGCCCGGCCGGCGCCUGCCGACACCAUCAAUCUUUUUUCCAGGUUGACCUCGGAUCAGGUAGGGAUACCCGCUGAACUUAAGCAUAUCA
rnacentral:rRNA from 1 species